rnacentral:rRNA from 1 species
CCUGGUUGAUCCUGCCAGUAGUCAUAUGCUUAUCUCAAAGAUUAAGCCAUGCAUGUGUAAGAAUAAACCGAAUAUGGUAAAUCCGCGAAUGGCUCAUUAUUCAGCCUCAAUUUAUUGGAUCUAAUCAGUUACUUGGAUAACUGUUCAAAAUGAAGAGCUAAGACAUGCCUCGAAACUGCAGCGCAAGCCGCAGUGCACUUCUUAGAAAAGACCAAUUGGCUUCGGCCAUCUAUUGGUGAAUCUGAAUAACUACGCAGAUCGCACAGGCUCGUCCUGGCGACAUAUCCUUCAAGUGUCUGCCUUAUCAACUGUCGAUGGUAGUUUAUUGGACUACCAUGGUUGUAACGGGUAACGGAGAAUUAGGGUUCGACUCCGGAGAGGGAGCCUGAGAUACGGCUACCACAUCCAAGGAAGGCAGCAGGCGCGCAAAUUACCCACUCUCAGUGCGAGGAGGUAGUGACGAAAAAUAACGAGACAGUCUUCUAUGAGGUCUGUCAUCGGAAUGGGUACAAUCUAAACCCUUUAACGAGGAUCUAUUGGAGGGCAAGUCUGGUGCCAGCAGCCGCGGUAAUUCCAGCUCCAAAAGUGUAUAUUAAAAUUGUUGCGGUUAAAAAGCUCGUAGUUGGAUCUUCGACCAUCAAGAGCGGUAGCCCAUUGGGUUUCACUGCUUCUUGUGGUCUCCUUGCUGGUUUUUCCUUGGUGCUCUUAACUGAGUGCCUUGGUUGGCUAGUGCUUUUACUUUGAAAAAAUUAGAGUGCUCAAAGCAGGCGUUUGCCUGAAUAGUGGUGCAUGGAAUAAUGGAAUAGGACCUCGGUUCUAUUUUGUUGGUUUUCGGAGCUCGAGGUAAUGAUUAAGAGGGACAGACGGGGGCAUUCGUACUGCUGCGUUAGAGGUGAAAUUCUUGGAUCGCAGCAUGACGAACAACUGCGAAAGCAUUUGCCAAGAAUGUUUUCAUUAAUCAAGAACGAUAGUUAGAGGUUCGAAGGCGAUCAGAUACCGCCCUAGUUCUAACCGUAAACGAUGCCAACUAGCAAUCCGCUGGCGUUAAUUUUGACUCAGCGGGCGGCUGCCCGGAAACGAUAAGUUUUUCGGUUCCGGGGGAAGUAUGGUUGCAAAUCCGAAACUUAAAGGAAUUGACGGAAGGGCACCACCAGGAGUGGAGCCUGCGGCUUAAUUUGACUCAACACGGGAAAUCUCACCAGGCCCGGACACUGGAAGGAUUGACAGAUUGAGAGCUCUUUCUCGAUUCGGUGGGUGGUGGUG